GAAUCACAGAACUUUCUGUAUUUUAGAUCCCAAAGAUGAGCUGUCACUCAUACAAAGUUCCUCACCAGUUAUUUAAUGAGGCAAUAAGUCUAUUCCUGUUUGAAGGCAGGGCGGUGAAUUCUCAUUUUUUAAAAUUCCUUAAGGAAAAAGAAUAUCCUUGAUAUUUUAAAAUUUCUUCUCUAAAUGGAGAAGAAAGUUAAAUAGGAUGAUGUGUGAUGGUAAGAUAGAUGUGUCUCUGAAAAAUUCCUUAGAAAAUUAAAGAGGCACCUUACUGUCAAUCUCACUUUAAUUUUCUUCCAUGACAGCCUGACAGUUCUCAAAUAUAUUUUCAUUGGAGCCCCUGCUGUUUGCAUAUGCGAGUCUCCUCCCUACACUAGAUUCGUCUGGGUGAAGACAACCCGAGCGAGUGCAAAGGAUCAUUUGACAAACAACAAGCGGCAGACUCUUCUUUCGCUCACGUUGACUGCAGUUCAUCCAUCACAUCCACUUUACUUUCCCACUCUGGGUACCACAGAUGCUGUCACAGGGAAAUGAGUCUAAGUAAUUUUAAAAAUUAUGUCUGGAUUACAAGAACGGGUGAUGGAAGUUUAUAGAAAUGUAAGGUGACUGUGGGGAAGUCUAUGGAAUUCCAAAUGCACCAUGAGUUGAGAGUUUAUUUCUUUCCUCUCAUUUUCGUCUGGAAGGAAAUUCUGCAGCUCAGGAAGACCUGACCUACAAGCAAAAGAGCAGGAGACGGCAGCAUAAACAGGAGAAUGUACCCCACCCCCCCAUAAAGAGUCUGGAUUAGGAUUUCUUCCCAACCGCCUCCUGGACAGAGAAAGGCAGAUAGUACAGCAGAGCCAGUGUUUCUCCCCCUCAAUUCAAAUAAAAUUCAGCAGGAUGCAUGUUAAAACUGCUAUCGAGAGAGAUUUUAGCCAGUUUCUAAUGUUACGGCCGGCUGCUCAGAAGUCCCCUCAAGGUCGCAUUUACCUUGAUGAAUCCGCUCAGCCCAAGGUCUGCACUAGGCUGGCAGGUUAAGAAGCCUGCUUCGUCGGAGCACUUAGGAAGUAGCUCUGUCACCUCUCAGAGGCCACCUUGCCUUAAUCAAGUUCAUGGAGCCCAAAUGCCUGUUUAUUAUCGCAUCAUGAGAAGCAAGCAUACAGGAGGCCAAGUUGUUAGAGGGUUUCCCAGCGAGCUUGGAAGCAGAACACCGGAGCGAGAUGAUCUUAAAAAGAAUCUCCCAGCGAAUGGUGCUUUCAGACCUCACCAGCUGCAGGAAGAGUUCCAUCUGUGAGUCCAUAAUGUCAAGGUACCAAAGCCGCCUCCUCCCUGGGUGGCAGAUGGACAUCACAGCAUUGAUUCGGGGAGGGCAGAUUUUCUGUCUCCGCUCUCAGGUCAACGGACAC
rnacentral:lncRNA from 1 species